GGAGUAAGGGUUCCAGAGCACCUGUUUUUUCUUUACCUAAACCUUCACCGGGCUUCCAACCCAUUUUUUGGAGUAAAUGCAUUCCCAUACCGCCAGAAACAGGAGCGGCAACUUGUAGUUGAUCCUAAGAUAUUUCGAUGACACAACACACAGGAAAGAAAUUGCCAAAAUUUUCACGGGAAGAACAAACUUGGGGAAAAUAUAGAAGAAUCUAGAUCAAUUUUGUUGGACUUGUGAUUUAUAAUUUCACCAAAUUAUUUAAAUAUAAAGUUUUAACUCGAAGCUUUAUUUCGAAUAUAUUUUAUAGUUCAAAAAUUAAAUUGCAAUAAAUGCAUAAUACUUUA